UGGGGAAUAUUGCACAAUGGGCGCAAGCCUGAUGCAGCCAUGCCGCGUGUGUGAAGAAGGCCUUCGGGUUGUAAAGCACUUUCAGCGAGGAGGAAGGUGGUGAGCUUAAUACGCUCAUCAAUUGACGUUACUCGCAGAAGAAGCACCGGCUAACUCCGUGCCGGCAGCCGCGGUAAUACGGAGGGUGCAAGCGUUAAUCGGAAUUACUGGGCGUAAAGCGCACGCAGGCGGUUUGUUAAGUCAGAUGUGAAAUCCCCGGGCUCAACCUGGGAACUGCAUUUGAAACUGGCAAGCUAGAGUCUCGUAGAGGGGGGUAGAAUUCCAGGUGUAGCGGUGAAAUGCGUAGAGAUCUGGAGGAAUACCGGUGGCGAAGGCGGCCCCCCUGGACGAAGACUGACGCUCAGGUGCGAAAGCGUGGGGCAGCAAACAGGAUUAGAUACCCUGGUAGUCCACGCUGUAAAACGAUGUCGAUUUGGAGGUUGUGCCCUUGAGGCGUGGCUUCCGGAGCUAACGCGUUAAA
rnacentral:rRNA from 1 species